AUGCAUCUUGUUGUUUCCAGGCUUCUCCCUUGGAAGGAACGGAUUCAGGUUUUGCGGAGAGCAGGCGACUGGAUGGGUGCCUUGAACAUGGCAAUGACACUUUAUGAUGGCCAAGCUCAUGGUGUUAUUGACCUCCCAAGAGCCGUGGAUGCUGUACAAGAAAUCAUAAUGCCUUACCUGGUGGAGUUGCUAUUGUCAUAUGUAGAUGAAG
rnacentral:misc_RNA from 1 species